UGGGGAAUAUUGCACAAUGGGGGAAACCCUGAUGCAGCGACGCCGCGUGAACGAAGAAGGUAUUCGUAUCGUAAAGUUCUGUCCUAUGGGAAGAUAAUGACAGUACCAUAGAAGAAAGCUCCGGCUAAAUAUGUGCCAGCAGCCGCGGUAAUACGUAUGGAGCGAGCGUUGUCCGGAAUUAUUGGGCGUAAAGGGUACGCAGGCGGUUUAAUAAGUCGAAUGUUAAAGAUCGGGGCUCAACCCCGCAAAGCAUUGGAAACUGAUAAACUUGAGUAGUGGAGAGGAAAGUGGAAUUCCUAGUGUAGUGGUGAAAUACGUAGAUAUUAGGAGGAAUACCAGUAGCGAAGGCGACUUUCUGGACACAAACUGACGCUGAGGUACGAAGGCGUGGGGAGCAAACCGG
rnacentral:rRNA from 1 species